CUCAGGAUGAACGCUGGCGGCGUGCUUAACACAUGCAAGUCGAACGAAGAUGCCGGAGUGCUUGCACUUUGGCAGACUGAGUGGCGGACGGGUGAGUAACGCGUGGGUAACCUGCCUUAUACAGGGGGAUAACAGUUGGAAACGACUGCUAAUACCGCAUAAGCGCACGGUAUCGCAUGAUACAGUGUGAAAAACUCCGGUGGUAUAAGAUGGACCCGCGUCUGAUUAGCUAGUUGGUGAGGUAACGGCCCACCAAGGCGACGAUCAGUAGCCGGCCUGAGAGGGUGAACGGCCACAUUGGGACUGAGACACGGCCCAAACUCCUACGGGAGGCAGCAGUGGGGAAUAUUGCACAAUGGGGGAAACCCUGAUGCAGCGACGCCGCGUGAGUGAUGAAGUAUUUCGGUAUGUAAAACUCUAUCAGCAGGGAAGAUAAUGACGGUACCUGACUAAGAAGCACCGGCUAAAUACGUG
rnacentral:rRNA from 1 species